CAGUAGCCGCGGUAAUACGGAGGGUGCAAGCGUUAAUCGGAAUUACUGGGCGUAAAGCGUGCGUAGGCGGUUUGUUAAGUCUGCUGUGAAAUCCCCGGGCUCAACCUGGGAAUGGCAGUGGAUACUGGCAAGCUAGAGUGUGUCAGAGGAUGGUGGAAUUCCCGGUGUAGCGGUGAAAUGCGUAGAGAUCGGGAGGAACAUCAGUGGCGAAGGCGGCCAUCUGGGACAACACUGACGCUGAGGCACGAAAGCGUGGGGAGCAAACAGGAUUAGAUACCCCUGUAGUCCCUGUCUCUUAUAA
rnacentral:rRNA from 1 species